GAUCCUUCGUCAUUGCCUCGAGCUAGCAGAGAUCGUGUUGGAGAUGGAAGCCAAUUCUUACAAUUCGUCUUGGAGAGGGAAACUUGAAGCUUGGCUCUGCAUAAAUAGCGGGUUGCAUGCCUGUGAUGCUAUAGUCACGAACUGGGUUCAAUUCCCCAUUACGGCACUCGAUCGAUUAGUUGGUGAACAAGAACGAAAAGUUGCUGCAACUUUUCUACUGGUACGACUCUUCUGCGAAUGCCACGAUCCAUCAAAUAUUCUUUUAAAACCACCGCUUCAAACUUGGAAUCAAGUAUUAUGUUUGCCACCGAUUUAAUUGCAUAAUUCGUCCCUUUUCAAAGGCCCUGGAAAUUGGCUCCCAUCAUUUCGUCGUUUAGAAUAAAGGUUCUGGACAUUCCUCCAUAAUUAAAGUUCCAGAAAGGUGAGGCUGUAAAUGUUUUGCCUUUAUCCACCGCUUCCAUUAAACUUGCUGCACUUUGAGUUUGUAAUUGCCACCACGUCAAUCCCAUAGAAACCAUAUAAUUAAACUUGCCAUCCAUAGCUUCGCCUCUGACCAUGUAUAGGAACAAUUGAAGUUUGACUUCAUUUGAUCACACCACCGAAUCGAAAUGACUACUCCCAGUUUUGUUUUAAUUGUCAAUACCGCUCACCACCGCUUUAACAAAGCGUUCAUGAAUUUAGCUUGUCCCAACUGGUAUUUCUUGUUAAUUAAAUCAACAUGACUUUGCUUUUUCAAUUAACCACUGAAAGCCUUGUAUAUAUGGCUUUGCGUUCUGACCUCCUUCUGUUAUUUCUUUCUGUU